AACGAACGCUGGCGGCGUGCUUAACACAUGCAAGUCGAGCGGUAAGGCCCUUUCGGGGGUACGACGAGCGGCGAACGGGUGAGUAACACGUGGGUGACCUGCCCUCAGCUCUGGGAUAAGCCUGGGAAACCGGGUCUAAUACUGGAUAUGACUCCAUGACGCAUGUUGUGGGGUGGAAAGCCUUGUGCGGCUGAGGAUGGGCCCGCGGCCUAUCAGCUUGUUGGUGGGGUGAUGGCCUACCAAGGCGACGACGGUAGCCGGCCUGAGAGGGCGACCGGCCACACUGGGACUGAGACACGGCCCAGACUCCUACGGGAGGCAGCAGUGGGGAAUCUUGCGCAAUGGGCGAAAGCCUGACGCAGCGACGCCGCGUGAGGGAUGACGGCCU
rnacentral:rRNA from 1 species